rnacentral:rRNA from 1 species
UACGUAGGGGGCAAGCGUUGUCCGGAUUUACUGGGCGUAAAGCGUGCGUAGGCGGUUCGUUGUGUCUGUGGUGAAAGCCCCGGGCUUAACCUGGGAAUGGCCAUGGAAACUGGCGAGCUGGAGUGUGGCAGAGGGGGGUGGAAUUCCGCGUGUAGCAGUGAAAUGCGUAGAGAUGCGGAGGAACACCGAUGGCGAAGGCAGCCCCCUGGGCUAACACUGACGCUGAGGCACGAAAGCGUGGGGAGCAAACAGG